UACAGGGGGUGCAAACGUUGCUCGGAAUCAUUGGGCGUAAAGCGCACGUAGGCGGUUCGUUAUGUCGGAUGUGAAAGCCCUUGGCUUAACCGAGGAAGUGCAUCCGAAACUGGCGAGCUAGAGUACUAAAGAGGAUCGCGGAAUUCCCGGUGUAGAGGUGAAAAUUCGUAGAUAUCGGGAGGAACACCGGUGGCGAAGGCGACUCUUUGGUCUGGUAACUGACGCUGAGGCGCGAAAAGCGUGGGGAGCAAACAGGG
rnacentral:rRNA from 1 species